rnacentral:rRNA from 1 species
UGGGGAAUAUUGCACAAUGGGCGCAAGCCUGAUGCAGCCAUGCCGCGUGUAUGAAGAAGGCCUUCGGGUUGUAAAGUACUUUCAGCGGGGAGGAAGGCGAUAAGGUUAAUAACCUUGUCGAUUGACGUUACCCGCAGAAGAAGCACCGGCUAACUCCGUGCCAGCAGCCGCGGUAAUACGGAGGGUGCAAGCGUUAAUCGGAAUUACUGGGCGUAAAGCGCACGCAGGCGGUCUGUCAAGUCGGAUGUGAAAUCCCCGGGCUCAACCUGGGAACUGCAUUCGAAACUGGCAGGCUAGAGUCUUGUAGGGGGGGGUAGAAUUCCAGGUGUAGCGGUGAAAUGCGUAGAGAUCUGGAGGAAUACCGGUGGCGAAGGCGGCCCCCUGGACAAAGACUGACGCUCAGGUGCGAAAGCGUGGGGAGCAAACAGG